UGCCGCCUAGGCCCCCGAGCAGCCGUAGGGCCUCCUGCACGGCCCCCUCCUCCUGAUGCCACCGGGCGGUCAGUGAGGACACCUCCCUCCUGUAGGGGUAGAGCUGGUGAUGGAAUCUUUGGCGUGGACCAAUCCACUGUUAACCCAACUCUGGGGAAGAACGGGAGACAGCAGCCAAACUUGUGACUUAAUAGCUGAGCCCCCAGAACACUGGAGCCUCUAACCUACUGCAUUUGAAGAGACCUGCUACACUUGAGUCAUUUAUGUGAGCAACAAACUAUCCUGCUUCAACCAGCUAUUUUGGUUUCUUUCACAGCUGCUGAACUAAUACACAAAGAGAAAAGAGAGAAUAAGCUUCCUCCAUUGUAAAAUGGGAACAACUUCACAUUUCUUGCAUAACUGCUCUGGAGAACAAGUGUGAUAUGAAAUAUUGUAUUAAGGUGACAUCAGCAAAAUGGUGGAGUCGGGAACCCCCAAAUUCCACCCCUCCAAACUGGCCAAAACUAUGAGUCAAGUCAUUGAGGGAAUUAUAACAAUAAUAAAUGUAUAUGCACCUAAUAGAGUUUCAAAACACAUGAAUCAGAAACUGAUAGAAUUGGGAAUUCCCUGGAAGUCCAGUGGUUAGGACUCUGCGCUUUCACUGCCGAGGGCCCAGUUUCAAUCCCUGGUCAGGGAACUGAGAUCUGCAAGCCCCAGAGCGUGGCCAAAAAGAAAAAAAAGACACUGACAGAAUUGAAGGGAGAAAUUGACAAUUUAACAGUAAUGGCUGGAGACUACAAUACCUCACUUUCAAGAAUGGAUUGAACAACUAGAGAGUAGAUCAACAAGGAGAUAGAAAACUUGGACAACACUAUAAACCAACCAGACGUGACAGGCACCUACAGAACAUUCCACCCAACAAAAGAAUACACAUUCUUCUCAAGUGAAAUUAAACAUUGUUCAUAUGGUCAAGGACAGACCAUAUAUUAAGUGACAAAACAAGUCUCAAUAAAUUUAAAAGGAUUUGAAAACAAAGUAUGUUUUCUGACCUCAAUGACCUCAGUAGAAUGAAAUCAGGAAUCAAUAGCAGAAAGAAAUUUGAGAAACUCACAAAUAUAUGGAAAUUAAGCAACACACUCAUAAACAGCCAACGGGUAGAAGAAGAAAUCACAAGAGAAAUUAUACUUAGGAAUGAGGGAAAAUGAAAACACAACAUACCAAAACUUGUGGGAUGCAGCAGAGGCAAUACUUUGAGGGAAAUUUAGAGCUGUAAACACCUACAUCAAAAAAGAACUUAGGGCUUCCCUGGUGGCGCAGUGGUUGGGAGCCCGCCUGCCAAUGCAGGGCACACGGGUUCGUGCCCUGGUCUGGGAGGAUCCCACGUGCCGCGGAGCGGCUGGGCCCGUGAGCCAUGGCCGCUGAGCCUGCGCGUCCGGAGCCUGCGCUCCGCAACGGGAGAGGCCACAACAGUGAGAGGCCCGCGUACCGCAAAAAAAAAAAAAAAAAAAAAAAGAACUUAAAAUCAGUAACCUAAUCUUCCACCUUAAGAAACUAGAAAAAGAAGAGACAACUUAACCCAAAGCUAGCAGAAUGAAGGAAAUAAUAAAGAUUAGAGUGGAAAAAAAUGAAAUAGAGAAUAGAAAAACAGUAGAGAAAAAUCAACAAAACCAGAAGUUGGUUUUUUGAAAAGGUCAACAAAAUUGACAAAUUUUAAGCUAGACUGACCAUGAGAAAAAGGAAGAAGACUCAAAUUACUAAAAUCAGGAAGGAAAGAGGGGACAUUACUACCAAUCUUAUGGAAAGAGAAAAGAUUACAAGGGAACACUAUGAACAAUUGUAUGUCAUCAAACUUGAUAAUCUAGGUGAAAUGGAAAAAUUCCUAGCAAAACACUAACUCAAGAAGAGCUAGGACAUCUGGAUAGACCUGUAAUAAGUAAAGAGGUUGAGUUAGUAAUUUUAAAACUUCCAACAAAAAAAGCCCAGAUGGCUUCACUGGUGAAUUCUACCAAUCAUUUAAAAAAGAGUUGCUGCCAAUUCAUCUCAAACCCUUCACCAAAAAAACAAAAAACAAACAAAACAGAAGAGGAGGGAACUAACUCAUUCUAUGAGGCCAAUGUUACCCUGAUACCAAAACCAAAGACAUCACCAGAUAAUAAAACUACAGCUCAAUAUUCCUUCUGAAAGCAGCCACACAAUUUUCAACAAAAUACUAGCAAACCAAGUCCAGCAGCAUAUAAAAAGGAUUAUACACCAUGCCAAGUAGGAUUUAUCCCAGGAAUGCAAAAUUGGUUCAGCGUGAAAAUUAACCCAUGUAACAUUCCGUAUUAGUAAAAUAUAGGGGGAAAAAUACAAUCAUGUCAAUCAAUAGAGAAAUAGCAUUUGACAAAAUCCAGUGCCCUUUCAUGAUAAAAACACUCAACAAACUAGAAGCACAAGGGAACUUUCUCAUCCUGGUGAAGGGCACCCACAAAAAAGAAAAAAUUAAAAACCAAUAAAGCCCACACAAAACCAUGGUGGUUUAAAAUAUGCCCACACAUUUUUUGAGGCUCUUUUAAAAUGUGGAGUCUUAUUCCAGUCACUUGAGUGUCAGCUGGACUUAGUGACUCAUACCUAGUAAAUCGAAUAAGGCAGAGGUGAUGGUAUGUGACUUAAGAAGUGAGUUCAUAAGAGGAACCAUGUCUUCCUUCUUGCUCACUCUUGCUCUGGAGAAUGACAGUUGCCAUGUUCUAAGCAGUUACCUAUGGAGAGGCCCGUGUGGCAAGGAACUGAGGCCUCCAACCAAGAGCCGUGUGAGUGUGCCAUCUUGGAAGCCCAACCUCCAGCUCCAGUCAAGCCUUCAGAUGACUGCAGCCCCUGCCAAAAUCUUGACUACAACCUCAUGAGAGACCCUAAGCCAGAACCACACAAUUAAGCCACUCCGGGUUUUUUGUUUUAAGGUCGGGAAUCAUUUGUUUCACAGCAAUAGCUGUGAUAUUUUUAAACUGAAGACCCAACGGUCUUGGAUUUCCCAUAGGUAGCUGUUCUGGGAAACUAGGGGAGCAGGUUCUGGAGUCAGCUCAGUUCUUCCACUUACUAGCUGUAUGACCUCAGGGAGGGGACUUCACCUCUCUAAGCCUCUGUUUCCCUACCUGUAAAAUAGGGAGGGACUAAUAACUACCUUCACAGGGCUGCUGUUGGGAUAAACACAGGCUAAUCCAGAAAGGCCCUUGGUCAAUACUUGGGAAAAGAGAAAGUGCAGCUGGGGUCACUGGAGGUGAGUUUUAGCUUCACUGAGAGCAGAUUUGAGGAAUGGCGAAGGCAGAGGCUGCUAGCCUUGGCUAAAAAAGCGAACGGCGUGGUGGUGGGGAGCCAAACCUGGGGAUAAACCUCUCCUUGGCCAUCCACAUGCCAUGCAACUGGACAAUCCAACUCCCCACUCCGAGCCUGCCUCGGUUUCCCUUCUUGUCAAAUGGGAAUGAGGAUACCUUGCUCAGAUGGUGGUGAGGAAAGGUCGAGAAGAUGAUAGGAUCCAUAAGCCAAGUGCAGUGAUUAGUGUCAGCAUCGUUAAACAUAAAGACAACACGACAGGACCUACCAGGAAAGGGCUUGGCACCAAGACCCUACAGCAGCCUCAGGGAAAUCUGUAGACAGCAGGACAAGUUCCAAGCAGGGCUCAAAAGACCUGCUCUGGCCAUUUCCACAUGGAGGCACUGACCUUCCCCCAAAGCAAUACUACCUCCUCAGUUGCAUCCUUUGGCCUCAUAAAGAUGUCAGAGCUUAAGACAGGAGCCAGGGAAUUCCCUGGUGGUCCCGUGGUUAGGACUCCAUGCUCUCACCGCCAGGGGCCUGGGUUCGAUUCCUGGUUGGGGAACUAAAAUCCCACAAGCUGCACAGCGCGGCCAAAAAAAUAAAAGCCAGGAGCCAAAGCUGUCUGCUUCACCAUUCUUCUGCUGACCCUCCAUCCAGUCUGGGAAUUAUCACUCUCUCACCCAGGGUCUCCAUCGCUCCCGGGUUCUUUUCCUUUCCUCUCUAGUUCUCUGUCCCACCUCUCUCUCUGGUGUCCGUUCCUUCCUUCUCUGGGUCUCUGGCCCCCUCCUCUAUCUCUGGUUUUCUGUCUCUGUCCUCCUCCCCAGGUCUCCGUCCUCCUCUCUCUGGGUCUCUGUCCUCCUUUCUCUCUGGGUUUCCACCCCCUCCUCUCUGCCCAUCUCCAGCUUUCUCUCCCUGUGUAGCUCAGAUGCUGUGUGCCAGCCUGUGUUCUUCCUGCCCACGUCCUCACGGUUCCCGCCCAUACCCUAAGGUGUUGACUGACAGUACUUUUUCCAUUUUAUGGAGAAGCCCCAUAGAGGCUGGUGCUCCCUGCAGCCCCACAGUGAGCUGCAGCUGCAUCAGACCUUGAUCUUGGCCGCCCAGGGCUCUUUCUCAGGCAUCACAAUCCUCUGGAGGAUGUGACUCAGAAAUAGCUCCGGUGGGAGGCGGACCUCUGCAAGUGCUGCCUGAGUGAUGCUGGAAGAGAAGGGGAGGAAAGUGUUCUGGCGGGAGGGGAUGCCUCCCAGGCCGUCCAUCCCACCUGGACUCUCUCUCUCUGCCUGCUGGUUUCUCUCCACCUGGUCCUCUUACCCUGGACACUCGCCCGGCCUCCUCUCUGGCCUGCCUGCCUCCAGUCUCUCCCCUCCAAACGUCUCCCACCCGGGGCCAGAGGCAUCUUCUAGGGAAAGAAAGCAUCACACUCGCUAGGCUUCUGGUCCUGACCCUGCUUCUUUCAAGCUCUCUAACCUUGCAGGGGGUCACUCCACCUCUCUCUACCUCACUUAUUUUUGUUUUCAUCUUCCUUGCAGAACCUCUAAGAGAGGAAAACGAGACACACACACCCCCACCAUAGGGAUGUAGCACAGUGCCUGGAACAUAGUAGAUGCUCAGUAAAUGGGUAUGGAGCCCAAAUGCCGAGUUGCUCCUCUCCCCUGCCCAGGAACCCUCAGUGGCUCCCCAUUAUCCUCAAGAGAAUGGAGAAUGCCCACAUUUCUCAGCCUCUGUGUCCUGUGCCCACCCCCUGCCAGCCUCACCUCUCCCACACACCACAAUCUAGCCACAAGGACAUGUUCCCCAGGCUCUUUUCAACUCCUGCCCUUUUGCAUAUGCUGUUCCAGCUAGGUGGAAUACCCUUCCCUGUAUUCUGCCUUCCUCAUCUUCAAGAUCCAGCUUGUGUGCUACCUUUUCCAGAAAGCCUUCCUUGACCAUGGUCGGCUGGGCCAAGGCCUUUUUCAGGGCUCCCACAGUGACCUCUACUGCCCCCAGCAAUGCAGGUGCUGACUCCUAAGCCCGGCUCCACUACUUAGAAGCCGUAUGACUUUGGGUAUGCUAAUUAACCUUCUAGGGCCUCAAUAUCUUCAUCUGUGAAAUGAGGAUAAAAAUAAUGACUAACUAUUCCGUGCAUACAACUGACUGUUGUGCUAAACAUUUUACAUGAAUGAAUGAAUUUCAUUGUCAUGACAACCUCAUGAGAUGGAUGCAAUUCUCUCCAGAACUCUGUUUUGGGUGCUGCUAUAUUUCCUCUUCCUAGAGCAGUGCCUGGCACAUUGUAGGUGUUUAAGAAAUAUUUCUUGAAAGAACAAACACAUGCAUCUCCAUUUUACAGAUGAGGACACUGAGGCUCCUGGAACACAGAAAGUGCUCAGUAUAUGCUAGUGAAUUUUUUUUUUUUUUUUUGACCAUGCCGUGUGGCAUGUGGGAUAUUAGUUCCCUGAGCUGGGAUUGAAGCCACGCCGCCUGCAGUGGAAGCUUGGAGUCCUAACCACUGGACCGCCAGGGAAUUCCCACUAGUGAAUCUUAUUAGUAUCAUUAUGACCGUGAUUAUUGUUAGUGUAGUUCUCAGUGUCCAUGUCAAGCCAAGUUCAGGGUCUGACCCAGGAGAAUCCUGGCAGGGGGUGGAGGUUGGUGGGAGAGUUAAAGGACCAAGCUGUAGCAUUCUAUGCUCUAGUCAGGAAUUCUCUAAAUUCUCCUAGAUCUUGCUCACCUCCCAGUUUUGCCCCACAGUCUGAGGUGGUCCGCUCAGAGAACUCCUGCUCAUCCGUCAAAGCCCAGUUCCAACACUGCCUUCUCCAGAAGUUUUCCCUGAUACCCCUAGCCUGGUUUGAGGUGCCCUUUUCUGGGAUCCCCAGUGUUACCUCCAUUAUGGAAUUUGUCACCCCAGUCUGUAUCUGUCACUCCCACCAGACUGGGGGCUUUCCUGGGGCAGGGACCUGGCCUGAUUCCUAUCUGUGACUCCAGCUUCACCCAGGACAUUUGGAAGUGACUGAAUGAACAAAAGACCAACUUGCAGGCAGCAGGCAGCAUUCACCCUGGAUGGAGCAGAUUCAUGGCUGACUGUAGGGCCUCAAAGGGUGACAAGAACCUUCUCAUUCCAAAUCAAGAAGACACCCUCCCGAAACCCAUCCUCAGUAUCUGCCUACCACCAGGGUGAGAGCCCUCGUAUUCCCCAGCCCGGCCGAGGGCCCUCUCACCAGUAUUUCCGUGAUAUCU